rnacentral:rRNA from 1 species
GUGACUGCGUACCUUUUGUAUAAUGGGUCAGCGACUUAUAUUCUGUAGCAAGGUUAACCGAAUAGGGGAGCCGAAGGGAAACCGAGUCUUAACUGGGCGUUAAGUUGCAGGGUAUAGACCCGAAACCCGGUGAUCUAGCCAUGGGCAGGUUGAAGGUUGGGUAACACUAACUGGAGGACCGAACCGACUAAUGUUGAAAAAUUAGCGGAUGACUUGUGGCUGGGGGUGAAAGGCCAAUCAAACCGGGAGAUAGCUGGUUCUCCCCGAAAGCUAUUUAGGUAGCGCCUCGUGAAUUCAUCUCCGGGGGUAGAGCACUGUUUCGGCAAGGGGGUCAUCCCGACUUACCAACCCGAUGCAAACUGCGAAUACCGGAGAAUGUUAUCACGGGAGACACACGGCGGGUGCUAACGUCCGUCGUGAAGAGGGAAACAACCCAGACCGCCAGCUAAGGUCCCAAAGUCAUGGUUAAGUGGGAAACGAUGUGGGAAGGCCCAGACAGCCAGGAUGUUGGCUUAGAAGCAGCCAUCAUUUAAAGAAAGCGUAAUAGCUCACUGGUCGAGUCGGCCUGCGCGGAAGAUGUAACGGGGCUAAACCAUGCACCGAAGCUGCGGCAGCGACACUAUGUGUUGUUGGGUAGGGGAGCGUUCUGUAAGCCUGCGAAGGUGUGCUGUGAGGCAUGCUGGAGGUAUCAGAAGUGCGAAUGCUGACAUAAGUAACGAUAAAGCGGGUGAAAAGCCCGCUCGCCGGAAGACCAAGGGUUCCUGUCCAACGUUAAUCGGGGCAGGGUGAGUCGACCCCUAAGGCGAGGCCGAAAGGCGUAGUCGAUGGGAAACAGGUUAAUAUUCCUGUACUUGGUGUUACUGCGAAGGGGGGACGGAGAAGGCUAUGUUGGCCGGGCGACGGUUGUCCCGGUUUAAGCGUGUAGGCUGGUUUUCCAGGCAAAUCCGGAAAAUCAAGGCUGAGGCGUGAUGACGAGGCACUACGGUGCUGAAGCAACAAAUGCCCUGCUUCCAGGAAAAGCCUCUAAGCAUCAGGUAACAUCAAAUCGUACCCCAAACCGACACAGGUGGUCAGGUAGAGAAUACCAAGGCGCUUGAGAGAACUCGGGUGAAGGAACUAGGCAAAAUGGUGCCGUAACUUCGGGAGAAGGCACGCUGAUAUGUAGGUGAAG